ACGUAGGAGGCAAACGUUAUCCGGAUUUACUGGGCGUAAAGCGCGUGUAGGUGGUACUGUAAGUAGGGCGUGAAAGCUCCUGGCUCAACUGGGAGAGGCCGUUCUAAACUACAGAACUAGGGGAUGGUAGAGGGAGGUGGAAUUCCAGGUGUGCGGGUGGAUUCCCCGAUAAUCUGAAGGACACCCGGGGGCGAGGGCGGCCUCUGGACCAAUCCCGGGACUCAGGCGGCGAAGGUUAGGUAGCAAACGG
rnacentral:rRNA from 1 species